CUGGGGGUAGCUUAAGAUUAAAGUUUGGAAUUCUUACUUCUAAGAUAUCUGGUUUGGAUUCUUCAGG
rfam:Fasciola hepatica tRNA-Ala and tRNA-Asp genes, complete sequence; NADH dehydrogenase (ND1) gene, complete cds; tRNA-Asn, tRNA-Pro, tRNA-Ile, and tRNA-Lys genes, complete sequence; NADH dehydrogenase subunit 3 (ND3) gene, complete cds; tRNA-